rnacentral:rRNA from 1 species
GACGAGUCACUACGGUGAUGAAGUAGCUCAUGCCCCGCUUCCAGGAAAAGCCUCUAAGCUCUAGAUUAUCAUUAAUCGUACCCCAAACCGACACAGGUGGUCAGGUAGAGAAUACUCAGGCGCUUGAGAGAACUCGGGUGAAGGAACUAGGCAAAAUGGUGCCGUAACUUCGGGAGAAGGCACGCUGGCGCUAGGUGAAGUCCCUCGCGGAUGGAGCUGAAGCCAGUCGCAGAUACCAGCUGGCUGCAACUGUUUAUUAAAAACACAGCACUGUGCAAACACGAAAGUGGACGUAUACGGUGUGACGCCUGCCCGGUGCUGGAAGGUUAAUUGAUGGGGUUAUCCGUAAGGAGAAGCUCUUGAUCGAAGCCCCAGUAAACGGCGGCCGUAACUAUAACGGUCCUAAGGUAGCGAAAUUCCUUGUCGGGUAAGUUCCGACCUGCACGAAUGGCGUAAUGAUGGCCAGGCUGUCUCCACCCGAGACUCAGUGAAAUUGAACUCGCUGUGAAGAUGCAGUGUACCCGCGGCAAGACGGAAAGACCCCGUGAACCUUUACUAUAGCUUGACACUGAACAUUGAGCCUUGAUGUGUAGGAUAGGUGGGAGGCUUUGAAGUGUGGACGCCAGUCUGCAUGGAGCCAACCUUGAAAUACCACCCUUUAAUGUUUGAUGUUCUAACGUAGCCCCGUUAUCCGGGGUGCGGACAGUGUCUGGUGGGUAGUUUGACUGGGGCGGUCUCCUCCCAAAGAGUAACGGAGGAGCACGAAGGUUGGCUAAGCAUGGUCGGACAUCAUGCGGUUAGUGCAAAGGCAUAAGCCAGCUUGACUGCGAGAGUGACGGCUCGAGCAGGUACGAAAGUAGGUCUUAGUGAUCCGGUGGUUCUGAAUGGAAGGGCCAUCGCUCAACGGAUAAAAGGUACUCCGGGGAUAACAGGCUGAUACCGCCCAAGAGUUCAUAUCGACGGCGGUGUUUGGCACCUCGAUGUCGGCUCAUCACAUCCUGGGGCUGAAGUAGGUCCCAAGGGUACGGCUGUUCGCCGUUUAAAGUGGUACGCGAGCUGGGUUUAGAACGUCGUGAGACAGUUCGGUCCCUAUCUGCCGUGGGCGUUGGAAGAUUGAAAGGGGCUGCUCCUAGUACGAGAGGACCGGAGUGGACGCACCACUGGUGUUCGGGUUGUCAUGCCAAUGGCAUUGCCCGGUAGCUAAGUGCGGAAGAGAUAACCGCUGAAAGCAUCUAAGCGGGAAACUUGCCUUGAGAUGAGUCUUCCCUGAC